CGUUCUCUUCACGACCACAGUGGCAAAAAACAGUUUGAAGGGCAUGGGCCAAUGCGUGACGAAGACAGUCUCCCAUGUGUGGUCCUUGGCAGCACUGGAACACCCAGUGUGCACCACCACUGCUCUGCAGAAAGUCAGUGAAGGCACAGAACCCUCUGCUGCAUGCCUGACACAAAACACAAGCACUGUGGUGGGGCCCGCCUGGGCUUGGGCCACCUUGGUGAUAGGCACAGCACCCCACUGGCAAACACUGAAGUCCCUGCAGAGUCGUGUGCUGGAGUGGAGAGGCCGUGUCUGUGCCCGUGAGGACAGGCAGCCCAAUGGACUUGGCCCACCAGAAGAUGGAGCGGAGGCCAGAGGAACCCCUUGGACUAUAAGCUACCUGGAUCAGGUGGAAUUCCUGAAGCAGGAGGUGGAGAUCUCCAAGGGGAGCAGUUUUGCCUUCCUGCCUUGGCUUUUGCUUCCAAGGGACUGCAUUCUCCUCUUACACAGUGCCACAGGAGCUGGCAGUUAAGGACAGUGCAGGAAGGAAACCAUCCUGCCCUCCCACACAUCCUGAAUGCCAUAUUCAGACAUACAGGCAGCAUAUUUGCACUUUUUCUUCCUUGUUACCAAACAUAAACUGUUGCAGAGCUGGGGAAAUGCAGACUGGAUGUGUCAGAGCAUGCGGUCCAUGCUGAGGAAUGGGGAAGGGUUCUCCUUCAGCAAAGCCUGAGGGAAGAGACCUAGGAAAGCACUGUGCUCCAGAGGUCACUUGGGAAGGAGUUUGCUCCAUUUUUCUUCCAAAUCGAAGGAGCAAAAUCAGUACAGUCCUGCUGAAGUUUAGCUCUCAAAUGUCAGAAUUUCCCCAGGCUCUCUGUGGACCAAGGUGAACUCACAGAAGGAUAGUGUAUCCCAAACAGAAACCUGUGUGCUCUGGUCACUGUGGCCAGCCAACCACCCCAGUGGUCAGGCUCCCAGGGCUGCUCAGGGAGAUGGACAUUCCUUUUUCAGCCCUGCUCUUCCCUCUCUGUCCUCCAGAACUGAUGGAGUCCUUCAGAGGGGAGAGGUUUUACAUGCCAUUUCUGUGCAAGGGAAGGGGAUGAACCACGUAAAAUGAGGGCACCUCCUGCACAGAUCCAGACAGAGGCCACGCAGCAUGCAUCCACACCAGCACAGGGGCUCAUCCCCAGCACUGCUUCCCUUCCUGCAGCCCAAUUGAGAGAAGGCACAUGGCUUUGGAAGUUCAGAUCCUGCCCGUAUCUCUUCAUCUCAUUUCAACUUGGGCUGUAGUCCACCUUAACUACCUCCCUUAAGCCUCUUAAUCUUUCUAUCCAUCUACUAUUUUCCCUUCAUUUAGUUUUGUGCUGCUAUUAUAGUAUGCAGUUCUGGACACUGCUUUAGUUUACACUUUUUUUUAGAAAAGAUGUUGCUUGCAAAAAGACUGUGUUGUAUCUCCAUUUAAAUCUCUUUCCUGUUAACCAGCUAUUUAAGGACACAUGGGUAAGCUUCAGAGCAUUCAACAGAAAAUUAUUCUGAAAAGGGAUCAUGCAUUCAGAGGGAAAAAAAAGGAUACAGAAAAAUAACUCAUGAGCUUUGUAAAACAUACUGGCUCUCCUGGCACUGGGAGAGAAAUUCUUUGUUAACGUUUUGAUUUGCUGUGGCACAGAGCCAACGUUUCAGUUACAAUAUAAAAAGCACCCAAAAAUUACCAACAUCUCCUUUCUUCUGCCUUCAAAGUUUUAUUAAAUACUCAGAAGUAUUUUAAAAGGUCGGUUACCCAUUUUGCUGCUAUCAGGGGAUUACUCUAACAUGAAGUGUUUGUCUCCUGUUGUGAGUAGUGAAAAUCCCCCUGUAUCCAGCGUGUUUUGUUUGGAUUGAGAUGGCAUGCAGCUGAUGGCUGUGACCUUCAUGGUGGCUUAGAUCCCUGGCUGGCACUGAUUUUUGAUUUAGUGCCGAUCUGCUGCGCUUGUCACAGGCUGCAAGGUGCUUUCCAUGCACUAAUGGAACAGCUCAAGGGCAGAGGGGCCCUGUAAAUGUCUAUCUUUCACCAACACUGUGCUAAAUAGAGAGCUGAGUUUUCUACAUGUGAAUGACAGACCCUGAGAUUAUAUACAGUAGAGAACUGGGAGUUCUUCCGCCUGAGCUGAUGCUUGGCGGUAAAUAAAUGUCACUGUAAAAUGGGAAGUUUUUAUUAU
rnacentral:lncRNA from 1 species